rnacentral:lncRNA from 1 species
GUUGGGUCUUCAUCUACUCUGCUUCGACCAUAAUCCCGAAGACCAAUAGGGCGGAGUACCCUCUUCGGAUGCUCAGGAAUAUGAUUCUUUGGUCUUUUUUGGUCAUGAGGAUCACCUUGAGACAUGUCCUCAAAGUGUAUAGACUGCUUUUCAACUCACGGUUGUCCCUCUUUAGGCGUACCACAUCUUUCAAACUAGACAUAAUUGAAUGCUUUGUCCCUCAGCCUGGCAAUCCAAAGAAUCUGCACAACUAUAUCCUUGCUCUGCUCAGCUACCUCCUUGCUCCGCUCAGCUACAUCCUCGCUCCACACAGCUACAUCCUCGCUCCGCUCCAAGAGAACCUCCAAAGCUCUAUCUGCUUUGUCCACCAUCUUCAUUAGCCUGACCACUUCGGUGCCGAGUUCUAGGCAGGGUGCCUUUUACUUGCCUUCGGCCAUGAUUAUGCUCUUUGUCAGCAGCAAAGACCAACCAUCUUCGGGCUUCGCCGUGGGCUCUCGAACGAGAACCCCCUGAUUUGUGCUAUAACUUCCGAUGUAGAACAACUGGAAAUAUUGUGAUUGAUAACUCAAGAACACUAGAAAACAGCGCCCUCCUUCUAGCGCUAAUGUUAACGCCAAGAUCUUUUGCCGCGUCCCAAUCACGUAAGACGUCCUGAUCCUGCACAGUAAACACGGUCAACACCGAAAGCUUGACGGCGGUUCCGUCGGGGGAUAGCUCAGGCGUGAGAAUUAGUACGUGUUCACAAGGUUAACAAUGGAGGAAUAUAUGGUCUAGUGUAUUGAGAGAGAUAAAAUAAUUCUCCGUUGUGUGUGUGUGAAUAUGAAUGUGAACGUACCUUUUGCUUGAAGACUUCUUUGCUAUGAUAUACUACAGGACCUGGUUUACCGUGCCACUGACCCUCCUGACACCUGUUAAUCCCAUCCCCUCUGUCCACCGUUGGCCAACUGUCCAAUCCUUAUUAAUGUUAUUAAAGAUAUCAGUUAGUCAUAUCUUUGUCAUCAUCACUGGUCAAAGAUGUAGAUAUUUAAAUAUCUGAUGGGUCGACCCACUGAUUU